GAUGAACGCUGACAGAAUGCUUAACACAUGCAAGUCUUUGGCGAAGCUGUGCUUGCACAGCCUAGCCAAGGCGGACGGGUGAGUAACGCGUAAGGAACUUGCCCUGCAGUCAGGGAUAACAGACGGAAACGACUGAUAAGACCUGGUAAAGUCAGGCGGACUCAUGUCCAGCCUGAUGAAAAGAGAUGCUGCAGGAGAGCCUUGCGUCCUAUUAGCUUGUUGGUGGGGUAACGGCCCACCAAGGCGAUGAUAGGUAGCCGGCCUGAGAGGGUGGACGGCCACAAGGGGACUGAGAUACGGCCCUUACUCCUACGGGAGGCAGCAGUGGGGAAUAUUGGACAAUGGGGGCAACCCUGAUCCAGCAAUUCUGUGUGCACGAUGAAGGUUUUCGGAUUGUAAAGUGCUUUCAGCAGGGAAGAAAAAAAUGACGGUACAUGCAGAAGAAGCGACGGCUAAAUACGUG
rnacentral:rRNA from 1 species